CAUGUGUGGAUAAUCCCAGGAAGUCAUUCUCCUUGGGCUCUGUCCAGGUGGCCUAGGGGAGCAUAGGCUUUGCCCUGUGACAUACAGUCCCUUUCCACAACACUAGAGAAGAAUCUGAGCCUUGAGUCUGGACCUACAUAUUCAUACAACUUGUCAGUCUCUUGUGAACAAUGACUAAGGAGACAAACUGCACAGGAAAAGACA
ensembl:snoRNA SNORA73 Small nucleolar RNA SNORA73 family